rnacentral:rRNA from 1 species
GAGUUUGAUCUUGGCUCAGGAUGAACGCCGGCGGUGUGCCUAAUACAUGCAAGUCGUACGCACUGGCCCAACUGAUUGAUGGUGCUUGCACCUGAUCGACGAUGGAUCACCAGUGAGUGGCGGACGGGUGAGUAACACGUAGGUAACCUGCCCUGUACAGGGGAUAACAAUCAGAAAUGACUGCUAAUACCGCACAAGACCACAGCACCGCAUGGUGCAGGGGUAAAAACUCCGGUGGUACAGGAUGGACCCGCGUCUGAUUAGCUGGUUGGUGAGGUAACGGCUCACCAAGGCGACGAUCAGUAGCCGGCUUGAGAGAGUGAACGGCCACAUUGGGACUGAGACACGGCCCAAACUCCUACGGGAGGCAGCAGUGGGAAUAUUGCACAAUGGGGAAACCCUGAUGCAGCAACGCCGCGUGAGUGAAGAAGUAUUUCGGUAUGUAAAGCUCUAUCAGCAGGGAAGAAAGUGACGGUACCUGACUAAG